rnacentral:rRNA from 1 species
GGGUUAAUAAGUUGGUCGUGCCAAUGGUAUGUACUGGCUUUAUUGAUUCCUACCUCUUGAAGAACUGUGAUGCCAUUAAUUUGGUGUUGCAGGAAAUCAGGACUGUUACCUUGAAAAAAUUAGAGUGUUUAAAGCAGGCUUACGCUUGAAUACAUUAGCAUGGAAUAAUGAAAUAGGACGUUUGAUUCUAUUUUGUUGGUUUCUAGGAUCGACGUAAUGAUUAAUAGGGAUAGUUG